UACAGAGGGUGCGAGCGUUGUCCGGAAUCACUGGGCGUAAAGGGCGCGUAGGCGGCCUGAUAAGUAGGGGGUGAAAUCUUGCGGCUCAACCGCAAGGCUGCCUUCUAAACUGUCAGGCUGGAGCACGGUAGAGGCAGAUGGAAUUCCCGGUGUAGCGGUGGAAUGCGUAGAGAUCGGGAAGAACACCAGUGGCGAAGGCGGUCUGCUGGGCCGUUGCUGACGCUGAGGCACGAAAGCGUGGGGAGCAAACAGG
rnacentral:rRNA from 1 species